ACAUAUAUGGAAAAGGGUGGCUGGCCAUGUGCUAUUUUAGAGUGGUGUGAACCCAAUUUUAUAAAAUUCAAAUCCAAUUUAAUUAAGAAGUCAAGUGGGCAAGUGGGUAGAAAAGCACUCAAGUGUUUUGUGAUAUUUUGAAGAGUUGUGUGAGCCAUUCUAACCCCCAAAUCCGACCACUCUCCCUCCCUCAUUCACUCUCAUCUGAUUUUUGAAGACUCUCUCAAGUGUUCUCUCCAUUUUGAACCCCAAGAACACCAAAGAAACUUGGAAGCUAAGUCUUGGUCUAGGAAGGGUUUUCCCUAAGUUGGUUAGGGUUUUUGAAAGGUUUUGAAGGAGUCAAAGCUUAUAGGAAGGUCCAAACCUUAAGCAAGAACACCAAAGAGUAUUGGCUAAGCGUAACUGGACUGAACGUUGGAGGGUGAAAACCUGCUGAGCGCUAAGGACUCCAAGUCAGUGCAAGGGCAAGGCAGAGCAGUGAGCGCUGGAGUCUUCCUUGCAAAUGUACAUGUGGACCGACCUUUUGGGAAGCCUUUUUAUUUUUGGAAAUGUUGUGUAAUUUUCCUAAACUAGGCUCACUCUAAUCUUUAUAAAACAUGUUUGUAAUUAAAUGUUAAGUAUGGCCAUACGACUUUUUAAAAAGUUUUUUUUUCUA